AACAGUGAGUAAAUUCAUCCACCAACUUCAAACCUCUUCCACUGGGUGUGUGAAAACAGGUGUCAUUGAAACAUUUUAUCUGAUGAAAAUGAGCACUGUGGCAUCGUCAACUGAUGUGCUAGUUCCCUAAAAUUCUGCCAAGCCAACAUGUUCUGAUAUAAGAAAAGGCUGCUGAAAUACCCAAUUGAGAGGAUCCAGAUAUCAGUGUAUGGAUUACAUUUUACUAGUCGUGGCAACUGACUCCUUGGCAAGCUCUGGCGCCAGUUGUUACAGCAGCUUUGCAGUUGCCAUUGGGUCUGUCUGAGGAUUACACUGUUGAGAGUCUGCCUAGGCCAUUUUGUACUCAGACAGCAUUUUCCUCUGGCUCACUUUUGAUUGACAAUUCCAUUAUGGAUAUCUUGUGGAAUUACUGGGAAAGGAUUACGGACAGAAGAGAGAGAAAAAAAGAAGAUUAGCACACAUGAUACAUAUACAUCCACACAUCAAGGAUCAAGCCCGCGAAAGGAAAGGGAAAGUGGUGAAUCUCCCAUGAACUUGAAUGGUGUUUCCCUGACAAGAUGCUCCAUGAUUUUACUGAAUGUCUGGCCUCUGUGGCAUGCAGCUAUAUUGCUCUUUUCCCUUCAUGCUGACCUCCAAGUUCAACUGCCUCUGACAUGAGCAGCAGGAGAGAAAGAGCAGCUCAGUACUGCGUGAAAAGAAAGGCACAAAGCUGGAAGUUGAAUGUAAAGCAAUUACCAGGGCAAAUGGAAAAAUUGCAGUACCGCUCAUCAUACAGUAUAUUAUAAAUCUAGGAAAACAGAUUUAUAGAAAAAAGACAAGCUUACCAAGAGCAGUAUUCUCUCUGCAGUUUUACCACAUCUAAAUGGGGCAGAACAUCUUUAUAAAGCAUAUUUCCCGAAUUUUCCUGUGUUUUUAAUCAUAUGAGAUAACA
rnacentral:lncRNA from 1 species